UUCAAAAAUCUGAAACUAGAGCCCAAAAUUUGAAAAAAAUGGUCCAAAAAUAGGGGGGGUCGACCUAUUCCAGGGCUCCUAGAGAAAAAUAAUGAGGGGUGUCACGGGUAUGACUAUAUAGGUCUUGUAGAGGAGAAACAGGCGCUUCUUUUGCGCAAGGUAUCGAAGGGCGCUAUGUUCAAAAAUCUGAAACUAGAGCUCAAAAUUUGAAAAAAAAAU
rnacentral:lncRNA from 1 species